UACGUAGGGUGCGAGCGUUGUCCGGAAUUAUUGGGCGUAAAGGGCUCGUAGGCGGUUUGUCGCGUCGGGAGUGAAAACCUCGGGCUUAACUCGGGGCUUGCUUUCGAUACGGGCAGACUGGAGGUAUGCAGGGGAGAACGGAAUUCCUGGUGUAGCGGUGAAAUGCGCAGAUAUCAGGAGGAACACCGGUGGCGAAGGCGGUUCUCUGGGCCUUACCUGACGCUGAGGAGCGAAAGCGUGGGGAGCGAACAGG
rnacentral:rRNA from 1 species